UACAGAGACUGCAAGCGUUAAUCGGAAUUACUGGGCGUAAAGCGUGCGCAGGCGGCUUUGCAAGACAGAUGUGAAAUCCCCGGGCUUAACCUGGGAACUGCGUUUGAAACUGGAAGGCUAGAGUGUGGCAGAGGGGGGUGGAAUUCCACGUGUAGCAGUGAAAUGCGUAGAUAUGUGGAGGAACACCGAUGGCGAAGGCAGCCCCCUGGGCUAACACUGACGCUCAUGCACGAAAGCGUGGGGAGCAAACAGG
rnacentral:rRNA from 1 species